rnacentral:lncRNA from 1 species
CAUCCGCAAAAAUUCCAAGUGACGUUACUGACCUGUCCGUAAAGAUUGUUCAAUCAUUUAAGAAUUGGUAGUAAAUGAAAUUCUUAGGUCAAAAUGUUUGGAGAUUGGAUUUGCCACGAUCCUAGUGAAAUUUUGGUGUUGAAAAAGCACGAUUCGAAUAAUUCCUCCACUUUGAUAUUGAUCUGGCUUCUAAUGGGUCUAGCAUUCGUAAUUGCUUACGGAUAUUGUCUUGGAUCGAUUCUGAAGAGUUUAUUGGAAGUUGAGAGCAAGAAAUGCACAAAUUAUUGACUCACUGCAACGAGGAGAGAGAAUUUUGGAAGUUCGAUAAAACAGCGAAUGAAUAAUCAGGUUGCAGACGAUGAUAUGAAAGAUGCUGGGAAUCCUUGUACGAAAUUAUAAGAUU